ACCGAUGCAUCCUGACCGGCGUCGGCAAUGAUCGGUGAGUAGGAUUCGGCCGAAAGGGUUUCGGUGAUGCCGCCGAGUAUCGGCGCGAACACCGGAUUGGCGAUGUCGGGCAGCAGAACGCCGAUCAGGCGCGAGCGUCCGGUUCGAAGGCUCGCCGCGACGCGAUGGCCGGUAGCCGUGCGCGCGGGCCAGUGUCUCGACCCGCGCCGCCACAUCCUCGCCGACCAAGUGGCGCUUCUGCGGGUCGAGCGCGCGCGACACGGUUGAGGGAUGCAC
rnacentral:misc_RNA from 1 species